rnacentral:lncRNA from 1 species
UCAACUUGAUCUGGUAUGGCAACUUUAAGCCAUCUCAGCGAGCCAUUGUCUCAGAUUUUAUUGCCUCUGUCUCUUCUAGAAGACCCACAACAGCCCAACCCUCAGUGGCCACGUGGUGGAAAGCCACUGAGAAAUAUUACAACCUUGUCAAGACGAAGAAAACCUCUCCUCUUCUCCUCUCCGUAGGAGCACAGAUUUUAGACGAGAGCUAUUCGUUGGGGAAAUCGCUCUCCAGCAAGCAAAUCGUGCAGCUAGCAACGAAGGGUGGUCAAAAGGGUGCAAUCAACGUUGUUUUGACAUCAUCCGAUGUUGCUGUUGAAGGGUUUUGCUCUAGUAAAUGUGGUACUCAUGGGUCCUCCUUGAGCGCUAAAACAAUCAGCGGUAAGAGAUCUAAAUUUGCUUACAUUUGGGUCGGUAACUCUGAGACUCAAUGCCCCGGCCAGUGUGCGUGGCCAUUCCACCAGCCAAUCUAUGGACCACAGAACCCUCCAUUGGUUGCACCCAACAAUGAUGUGGGUCUUGAUGGUAUGGUGAUCAAUCUGGCUAGUCUUUUGGCUGGGACUGCAACAAACCCAUUUGGAAAUGGCUACUUCCAGGGUCCGAAGGAGGCUCCUCUUGAGGCCGCGUCUGCUUGUCCUGGGGUCUAUGGUAAGGGUGCGUAUCCUGGUUAUGCUGGGGAUUUGUUAGUGGACUCUGCAACUGGUGCUAGCUAUAAUGCUCAUGGUGUUAAUGGAAGGAAAUACGUGCUUCCAGCUUUGUUUGACCCUUCAACUUCAACUUGUUCCACUUUAAUUUGAGAAGGGAUCGCAUUAGUGUGUAUGAGAGUACCGUAAAGCUGUAGGAGAGAUUAUUCUUUGAUUUAAUCAUUCUUUCAUUCAAUUAUAAUGAAAUCAACUUUUCAGCAUAUUUGAAUUAAUGUUGCCUCUUGACUAUGAUGAUUCAAUUCAGAUUCGUAAUCAUGAAAUUAAUAUUCAUUUUUACUUGUUUCUUGUUCUGUAUCAUCAACAAUUGUAUCAUUUCUUAUUGUUUAUGUCUUCCACUGUAAAUGAUGACAUUAAUGCACUAUCUAUAAACAACUUUCAAUAUUGUUUAUUAAACUUUAUAAUUAUGUCAUUGAAGUGUGAAAUGAUGUCAUUUCAUCCAAAAUUAUAAUUGAUUUUCCUCUUUUUUUUUUUAAGUAUGAUUUUAGUUUAGUCUCUAGAAUCCAAGGUUCGCUUGGAAUGGGUCCAUGAAUUUUUUUUAUAUUGCAACUCGACUCCUAGAUAUAUAUUAGUCUAUUAGCUCGUGUUUUGUUAGGGGUUGGAUUAAUUUUUUAAAAUGUUAAAAGUGCAAUGAAUUUUUUAUUGUGUUGGUAAGCUUGGUUUAAUGGUACAAUCAAUGUUGUUAAAAUCACGAUUUUAAUACAACACGGAAAGCCGUUCACAAACUCGGAUCAUAAAAACGGAUCAUAAAAUCGUAAGGAAUUUUAAAAUACAUUAAAAAAUAAUUCAUACUUCAAAUAAAAAAUUCAUAUAUAAUUCAAGCACUUUAAAAAACAUAUAUAGUUCAAGUAUCUUAAAAUACAUGAUUCAAAUAAAAUUUGAGAGUCAAUUGCUCAGAAAUUGAAGAAUUAAUAACUUUGAGAAUUUAAUUAAAAUUUGGAUUAGUUCAAUUAAUAAAAUCAUGAGUUUAAUUAAAAAAUUGAUUAGUUUGAGAACUUAAUUAAACUUUGAUUUAAUUAAUUAAAGAAAUUGAAGAAUUAAUAACUUUGAGAAUUUAAUUAAAAUUUGGAUUAGUUUAAUUAAUGAAAUCAUAAGCUUAAUUAAGGAAUUGAUAAGUUUGAGAAUUUAAUUAAACUUUAAUUUAAUUAAUUAAAGGAAUUGAGGGUUCAAUUGAAGAAACACCAAGGAGGAAGAGGAAGAGCAAGAACAAGAACAAGGAGAAAAACCCAGCAUAAAAGAGCGGUUGUGAAGCCGAAGAGCAUUAAAGAGGCAUCAACUACAAUUGAUCAGGAUUUUCCUUCUAACUCCUCCACGAGCUGCGAUGACUGUUCAAGGAUCGAUGGCUUGGAUUUCGAGGGUGUUGAUAUCUCCACGAGUGCAUGCUCUACUCCAAAAGCUGAGAGAUUUCGGAUACCAGAGAUUCAUACAUGCCCACCAGCGCCGAGAAAGCAAAGGAUGAUAUCGAUUUGCUCUUUGCAGAGGAGACCAAUUGCUUUCUUUGCUCCUCCAGAUUUAGAGCUCUUCUUCUUCUAUGCACUUCAAGUCUGAAAUGUUUGUUCAUGUCGUAUGAUCAAGAUCAUUUGAAUAAUUUCAAGAGGCGAUCCCUAGUGUUUAUUACUUCCAUCUAGUCACAGAUCAUAGCCUGUUCUUUUCAAUUCCAUUGUUGAAGUACGUACAAUGUGAUAGCUUGUCAAUUAGCUUUACCUUCUCCAUCUUGUUUGCUUGCUAAUUUUAUAGCCUGGGUUUUCUACCAGUUAGGAAGGGGAAUGCAAGCAAAACCCAUAGAAAAAACCUAAAAAACAGGGGAACGAGCAGGGGACUGUGCAAGAAUUGUUAGUACUUUCGCGGUUUCGCCUGAAAACUGAAGUGAAGAGUGAAGACAGUGCAAGAAAAAUCAGUACAAGAAAAAAGUGAAGACAGUCUGUGACUGUGCAAGAAAAAUCCAAUAGGCUUCUGACAGCUAGAUAUGAGGGGGGAAUUUUGUUUUAGCGCUUAAUUUUGUCAAAAUCGCAAAAUCGGUCUUGAAAUCGCGAUUUUGCGCAAUUUCAUCCGAUUUUUGCGAUUUCACCUGAUUUCAAUCCGAUUUUAUCCAUUUUCAAUUUUUUCAAGCGAUUCAACCCGUAAUGCAUGUUUUGACUCAUUAGUUUCCAACUAAAUUGCACAAGAGUUAGUCCGAAUUAACCUUACAAACUCGUGUUUUAGAUCAUGAUAAUGAGAUAAUUCAAUAGAAAAAAACUGAAAAAAAAACUACAAAGCCUUUUUUUAAAAAUAAAAAAACAAUAUUGAAUGGUGAUAUAAAAAAAAAGACAAAAAAAGAUGUCAACCCUUGAACCAGGUCAUUAGACUUGAAACACCUUACAUGACAUGAUCAUAAAGUCCAAUCCAUAGAAAAUGAAAUAAAAAAAUUACAAACAAGAAAUCUAAAAUUAAAAAUAUCAAUGAAAAAAAUGAAGGUUAUAAUCAAAAUAAAAAAUAAAUUAAAAAGCAACAAUAAAUUUUCACUUUGAGAUUUAAAAUGAAAAAAAAAAACCAAAAGAUUGAGGAUAGAAAAAAAUAUACACUAUCAACCUGGAUUGGAGGUUGACAUUAAAAAAAAAAAUAAACAUUUAUAAAAGGGUUAAUGAAAAAGAAUCAUAAAAAUAAGGAUUAAAUCGAAAAUCAAUAUAUGAUAAAAAAAAAUUAAACAAGUAGAAUUUUUCAACAUGUUUUUUUACAUUAAAAAAGUCAUAAAUGUAAAUCAUAAAACUUAUACACGCAUUAACUUAUACACGCAUUAAAUUAAAAACAUCAAUACAUGUUUUUUUUUCAAUGUAAAAAAAUAUGUAAUCUUAACCUCUCUUAUUAUAUGGAACCUUUUGACAAAAAAUUGUAUGUUUUGAUGGUUUAAAUUUUCUUAAAUAACAACUUUCUCUCUCUAACUUGUUAAUUUAUUGAAUAAUUUCGAGUCUUGAGUAAUUUUUCAAAUGGGUUCUGAAAACUGAAUGCAAUGAAUUAAUUUAAGACUAAGAGUCUUGCUUUUUCUCUAAGCUUAUCAAUUUGUUUUCCAAAUCUAGUUUUCAUUUAUUAUUAAAAUAUAUUUGAAGAAUGGACAGAGUGAAAUUUGAUGGCCAUGGGAUCAAAUUUCUCAAAAGAAAAUAUGGAGGUGAGGAUUACAAUUACAUAAUAUAUAAAGCAAUGUCUCGAUCUCUGAAGUGAGCAGAGAGUUUUGAGAUAUAGCAUGCUUAGCCCUGUAUCAAACAUGGAUCAGAUAAAUUUUGAAUUUUUUUUAUUUAAAAUUAAUUUUUUUAAUGAUUUCUUUAUUGUUUUAAUGUGUUUAUAUUAAAAAUAAUUUUUAAAAAAUAAAAAAUAUAUUAUUUUAAUAUAAUUAAAAAAACUAUUUUAAAAAGUAAUUUUUAUUAUAUUUUUAAGUACCCUCAUAAAUUACGUCGUUCCUAAAAUUAUAGUUGUGUUGUUCUCAAAAGCAUAAUCUAAAUUUGUUUUUCUUCAGAUCAUUAAUAAUUAUUUUCUCAGGUAUAAUUUUUAUUCUUUGCAUUAAAUUAAUUUUUUGAAAUAAAUAAAUAAUAUAUUUACCACUAUCAACUCGCGAGGAAAUGAUUUUCAAUGAGAAUUGGGUUCAUAUUUUCGGUGUUGUAUUAUUAAUUAUUAAGAUCGAGCGUUGCUAUUUUUCUAUAACCUUUUCUAUUUUUCAUCUUAUUGCGCUAUUUUAAAAAAUGACCGUUAAAUUGUUACUUGGAUUUUGCCUAACACUAACUUCUUCAAAGCUUUUAGACCUUCGACUAGCCGCGGUGCCAUCAUAAUAUUCCAGUAAAGUAGCUACAAUAUUUUCCAAAUAUUAAUUAACUCUUCUUUAUUUUAGCGUGCCUUAAUUAAAAUGGUAUUGAAUAAAAAAUAGUAAAUAAAAGACAAUUAAAUAGUUAAUUUAUUGAAUAAAAAAUUUAAUUUUUAUAAAUUAUUUAUCGAUUUUGGAUAUUCAUCAUCUAACUAUUAUUUAUUAUUUAAUAAAAAAUAAAUAGUUAUAUAUAAUAUAUAUGUAUAUAUAAAUGAUAAAAUUAUAAUAGUAUAGUGUUUUAUAUCAAUAUUGCAAUAUGUAUAUAUCAUGUUGUAUUAUAAAGAUUUAAAUUUUUUAUAAAUAUAUCUAUAUAAUAUAAUAUAUUUCUACUUGGACUCAGGCAAGUUUCAUAUUGGAUUUGAUAAUAUUCAUAUUUUAUCCAUUAUAUAUUAGAUAAGGUAAUUAUCAAAUAAUAUCCACUAAUUCAGGUCAAAUCAAUCAGGUCAAUAUUUAUCGAUUUUGAACUAAAUUGUUGUCUAUACUAAUAAAUUGAUCCAUUAAGUUAUGAGGGAUUCAGAAUGGAAUCAUGGUAUAUCCACCGACCAGUUUCACCGAAUAGGCUAACUAGCUAUUUGACCAACGCUUUACUGUGAAUUAGAUAAAAAAAAAAAAUAGAAACAAAUAAGCUUACUUUUUCAGCGUUUUUUUUUCUAUAAAAAUCCUAAUCAUAAAUAAAUUAAAAAGCCUAUACAUACAUUCAAUUAAAUAAAUCAAGAAUCAUUUGUGCUAAUAAAUGCAAAAAAAGAAGAAGAAGGUGUUAACGCAUCUAUAAGAUUAAAUAUCAUCUUUGGGCCCAUUAAGUUGUGAUGAAUUUAGAAUAGAAUCAUGACAUAUGCACCGAUUAGUUUUACCAAAUAGGCUAAAUUAGCUAUUUGACUCGCAGUUCAACAUGGAUUGGAUAAUUUGCUCUGGCAAAAAAAAAAAUAUAUGCAGCCUUUUCAACAUUUCUUUUGACUAAAAAAUUCCUAAUCAUUAAAAAAAACAUAUACAAUAAUUUUAUUAAAUAAAUCGAGAAUUAUCUAUGUCAUCAAUAAAUGUGAAACAAAACGUUUUAAAACAUCUAUUCAAUUCACCUCAUUGUGGGCCAGAUAAAAAAAAAAUUAUAAUGCAAAAGAAUGAAUGAGUAUGUGUUGUUAACAUGUUUUGUGACAUCGAGUAAAAAAUAUAACUAUAAAUUGAAAAUCCAAUGCUUAUAUUUAAUAAAAUAAAACAAGGAUCAUGUGCAUUAAUAAAAACAUUUAUGAUCUCAAGUUAAUUUUUAAUAUAAUAGAAAAAUAAAACAUUAUUGUGAGUGUGUUUCACUAUAUCAUGAUUGAUACAAUCCAAACUAUACCAAAUAAUCUAUUAGAAGUUCAAAUCGGUCCAAUUACAAGAUCAAGGGUAAAAAAACUUAAAGAUGCAUUCAAUGAGUUUAUUUAGAGUAAUUGAUCCAAAAUGAAUUUCAAGAAAGUUACAACUUCAACAAGUGAUAAUCAGAUCUUAGUCAAUUUAAUAUAUGUGUAAGAGGAGUUCGAUCCAUCUACAACAUAGGCCUAAUUAUUUCACAAUAAUGGGCUAAUUAAUUUUGGCAUUAGAGGUGGUUUGGGGUUUGUUUUCCUAAUACAGUUUUACUCUAACAAUUAUCAUUUUUAAAUCAUAAUUGUUAACAAUGCAUCGGGUUGAAAUUUUACCUGAAGUUUUUGAAAGUUAUGUUCUAUUUUUACUUAAAAUUGUAAAGCAAUAGGAGACUAGAAAGGCUUUGCGAUAAUGUCCAGAAGCUACUAUGCGAAAAUUGUAUUAGUUUUCUAAUUGAUUUAAGACUUUUUUUUCUAUUUUAUUUAGAACUCUUUUAUUAUUUAUCCAAUAUUAUUUAUAAAGUUUCGACAAAUUACAAAGAGAGUUAUUUAACUUAUAUUUAGGGUUUUUUUUUUGGACAAACUUUAAUUUUGUAAUUAUUAUUGUGUGUGUGAGGUUUUGCUCAUACCUUUUGAUUUUUCAUUGAACUACUAUGACUUAUCAAAGAAUUAAUCAAGCUUUAUGAUGUUUUUCAUACUUCUCGUUCGUGUUUUUUUAUAGGCAAUGAAUGAGGGUUCGAUUACUUAUAGUUUUGGUGUCUCGGCACAAGUUAUCGUUAUGUCAAGCUCAAUUUGUUUUAAUCUUAAUGGUCAUUGUUUAUAACCAAGAAUAAAUAAUUUUUAUUUAUAUAAAAUAUAAAAUAAAAUAUAUAGAUGAAUUAUAAUAAUAUCUAAGAAACAUUAAACACAUAUAAAAUAAUUACAAAAUUAUCACUAUUUAAAAAAAGUUAAAUAAAUAAUCUAAAAAGAUUUAGAGAGAAUAGAUAUUGAUUUAAAUAUAAAUUAAAAAAAUAUUUUAAUAAAAUACAUAUUAAAAAAAUAUCAAUUAAAAAAAUAAAAAUUAAAAAACAAAAUCAAGUUGGUUGGUGUUGGGCGUGGCAAGCUAGGUUUGUGUGCCUUGCUCAUUUUGAAAAAAAGCAUGAAUAACACUGACAUACACUCUUUUUUUAUUAUUUUUUUAAUGGAUGAAUAGCAUAAAACAUCAAUUUCUUCACCGAUAACAUAAUAUUUUCUCCAUGAAAAAUUUUCAAGGACAAUAAACAAUUUCAGGAAGACAGUCCCAGAUACAGCCAGUCAAAGAUCAUAUAAAAGCUCAUAUAAAAGCCACACAAAACCAGGCUAGCCAUUGAAGUUAGAUGCACCUUAGAUUUAAGACUAGAUUCUGGGUUUUAACUGGGUUAUUUUUUUUUUUAAAUUAAAACAAAGUUGUUUUAGUAAACUAUAUAUAUAAAAGUCAACAGGUUUACGGUCGGGUCUUGACCGGGUCAACCUGCUGGAUCAGCCGGAUCAUACCGGGUUUUUAUUCAUUCGUUGUUUUAAACACAACCUGAUUUCAAUCUCGGAUUGGCCGGGUUCCAGAUCAACUUGCCGUGCCGAACCGGGUUUCGAAACUAUGAGAUACACACUCCCUAAUUACAGAUUUAAACAUAUCAAGAGAGUUAUUUUUUAGGCGAUUAGAACAACCACUAGUCAAACCUAUUAACCCAGCAAUGGAAAACCUAAUUUUCUUGUGAGGUUUUUUCGCGAGCGGAGCUGUCUACAAAAAGCUAUCUCAUUCACUUUCGGUCCUCUUAGCUGGCCAAGCACUGUAAUGUUAAAUUGUUAACAAUAGAAGCAGUUGAAAACGAGAGUAGCCGCGCGCGCAUUAGGUUGGCAAUGAAACAACGCGCUAUUUAUCUGUCAUGUCACCACUGGCCACUUUAACCCACUCUCCGCGUAGCUUCCCUCCCCAGGAUUUCAACUCUUCCCUGAGACUAUAUAUACCCAAUCUCCUCCUCCGUUUCUCUCCACUCACAAAAUCCUCUCUUCCAUCACUACCGAUCCUCAGAUCAAUCAUGGCCUCCUUUCUUUCUUCACAUUCUCUUCUUCAACUUGCUCUGUUAAUCUCUAUUAUACAAUUCAGCUCAGCUGCAAGGACCUUCUCCGUGUCAGAUCAAAGCCAGGAUCCCUUGUUCUUUCAAUACCACAAUGGCCCUCUUCUCACCGGUGAAGUUUCUAUCAACUUGAUCUGGUAUGGCAACUUUAAGCCAUCGCAGCGAGCCAUUGUCUCAGAUUUUAUUGCCUCUGUCUCUUCUAGAAGACCCACAACAGCCCAACCCUCUGUGGCCACGUGGUGGAAAGCCACUGAGAAAUAUUACAACCUUGUCAAGACGAAGAAAACCUCUCCUCUUCUCCUCUCCGUAGGAGCACAGAUUUUAGACGAGAGCUAUUCGUUGGGGAAAUCGCUCUCCAGCAAGCAAAUCGUGCAGCUAGCAACGAAGGGUGGUCAAAAGGGUGC